rnacentral:sRNA from 1 species
CCUCGUCGAUCUGCUGAGGGCAGAUGAAGUGGAUAUGGGCGUCGAUGCCGCCGGCCGUGAUGAUCUGCCCCUCGCCGGCAAUGACCUCGGUCCCCGGCCCGAUCAGGAUGUCCACGCCGGCCUGGGUAUCCGGAUUGCCCGCCUUGCCGAUCCCGGCGAUACGGCCAUCCUUGAUCCCGAUAUCCGCCUUGACGAUGCCCCAAUGAUCCAGGAUCAGCGCAUUGGUGACGACCAGAUCCACCACCUCGUCGGUCUGACGCUGGCACUGCCCCAUCCCGUCGCGG